AGUUGGAUUCUGUUGAGGAGACCGGUCCAUACCAUGUAUGCGCAUCUGGCUCGGCCUCGGCAUCCUCUCGAAAGACGUUUCUGCGCUUGAUUGCGUGGAGCGGAUCUCGGGACUUUUACUUUGAGGAAAUUAGAGUGUUCACGGCAGGCUAUCGCAGAAUACAUUAGCAUGGAAUAAUACUAUAGGAUUUCGACUCUAUUUUGUUGGUUUCUAGAAUUGAAAUAAUGAUUAAUAGGGACAAUUGGGGGCAUUCGUAUCAACACGUCAGAGGUGGAAUUCUUGGAUUGUGUUGCGACGAACUACUGCGAAAGCAUUUGCCAAGGAUGUUUUCAUUGAUCAAGAACGAAAGUAAGGGGAUCGAAGACGAUUAGAUACCGUCGUAGUCUUUACCAUAAACUAUGCCAACUAGAGAUGGGGACUCGUUCAUUUACGACUGUCUCCGCACCUUAUGAGAUAUCAAAGUCUUUGGGUUCCGGGGGGAGUAUGGUCGCAAGGCUGAAACUUAAAGGAAUUGACGG
rnacentral:rRNA from 1 species